CCACGGUGAUAUUGCUGGAAUAUUGCAAAAAGCGGCGUAAAACCAUACUUACUCACACACCCAUUCACUUGCAUAGAUGCAUAUCAAGUGUUAUCUACACAGUGUUCGCAGUAGGAAUAAAAGCUUCGCGUCCUUAAAACACGUAUUCCCUGGAGUCUUGCUUGAGCACGAACUUUCACCCAUUGAACGAGUUUUACAGUUUCAUAAAUAGUUUGGUUUAUUAGCCAUUUUCAGCAAUGUAAAUUAUUUCAGCAACGUACGAAGGGCAAAAUCAAUGCCAUGCCAUCCCAUCCCAUCACCUUACUCCGCGUUGUGUCGUUUACGUCACGUGACCUUUAAACUGUUUGAGGAUUGGCCAGAAACUUCGCUUGUUCUUUGUUCCAGCAGUCUCGCACUGAUUGCGGAUCUCGUUCCACAAAUCACUGUUAGCCCUAAGUUGGGGGUUAUAACGGAAUAGCUGCAUGACAUACACAUUGUUUACGGAAACUGCAGUAUCAACAACAAACGUUACGGUAACGGGGAGGUGUGGCACACAACACGUGACUCGAAAAUGUAAUUUCCGAACCGCGAUUAACUAUGUAUGGUAUGAAUUCGUGACAUAUAUGGUCAUACACGGUUCGGAGUUUUGCACGCCAUCGGGCGAAGUCGCUAUUUAUAAACCUGGGGAAUCCCAACUUUCGGUAACUUUAACAUGUCACAACGGACAAUGUACAUUUCAGUAUCAUGAGAAUGAAGGAAGUAAUUUAAAGAUGUAACUACCCUGAAGACAAAAUGUUUGCGUGCUUGAAACGUAGAUUUGUUUCCGUGAAACUCGCAGGUUUUUGAGUUAACGCGAACAUUGCUACAUACGCAAAUACGCACGCGCACGCACGUGUACGCGCACACAGACACAUACACACCCAUACACAUAUACACGCAUGUAAAAUAUGCAUUUUGUGACGGCGAUAAAGCAAGAACGAUAUAAAUAUAAAGUAAGAUAAUCAAUCACCUGCAAUGCUCCACUGCUACUGUAAUAUUGAAUACUUCUAUCUUUAGCAUUUCAGAAGCAGUUAUUAAAAGAUAUUUUCAGGAAAUAAUUUUAGUAGUACAAAUAGUAUUAAUUAAAAACAGCUCUUUACAUGUGAGUUCAAACAAUAUCACCACUGAACUUCCCAUCUGAUGGAAGAAACGGCAAAAUGGUAGGGUAUGACAAUGUACCAUCAUUGUGUUUGUAUGUGUGUUGUUUCAAUUUCCUGUUUUGUAAUUAGCUCGCUCUCUUCUGGGUGUAUCUCAUCCUCUCAAGUAAAGUACUGCUUGUAGUUUAUGCGCAUGGAAAUAAAAUAAAUUCUGUUUACA